rnacentral:rRNA from 1 species
UUCCGGUUGAUCCUGCCGGACCUGACUGCUAUCGGAUUGAUACUAAGCCAUGCGAGUCAUUGUAGCAAUACAAGGCAGACGGCUCAGUAACGCGUAGUCAACCUACCCUAUGGACGGGAAUAACCUCGGGAAACUGAGUAUAAUGCCCGAUAGAACACUAUACCUGGAAUGGUUUGUGUUCCAAGUGAUUUAUCGCCGUAGGAUGGGACUGCGGCCUAUCAGUUUGUUGGUGAGGUAAUGGCCCACCAAGACUAUUACAGGUACGGGCUCUGAGAGGAGUGGCCCGGAGAUGGGUACUGAGACACGGACCCAGGCCCUAUGGGGCGCAGCAGGCGAGAAAACUUUGCAAUGUGCGAAAGCACGACAAGGUUAAUCCGAGUGGUUUCUGCUAAAGGAACCUUUUGUUAGUCCUAGAAACACUAACGAAUAAGGGGUGGGCAAGUUCUGGUGUCAGCCGCCGCGGUAAAACCAGCACCUCAAGUGGUCAGGAUGAUUAUUGGGCCUAAAGCAUCCGUAGCCGGCUCUGUAAGUUUUCGGUUAAAUCUGUACGCUUAACGUACAGGCUGCCGGGAAUACUGCAGAGCUAGGGAGUGGGAGAGGUAGACGGUACUCGGGAGGAAGUGGUAAAAUGCUUUGAUCUCUCGAUGACCACCUGUGGCGAAGGCGGUCUACCAGAACACGUCCGACGGUGAGGGAUGAAAGCUGGGGGAGCAAACCGGAUUAGAUACCCGGGUAGUCCCAGCUGUAAACUAUGCAAACUCAGUGAUGCAUUGGCUUGUGGCCAAUGCAGUGUUGCAGGGAAGCCGUUAAGUUUGCCGCCUGGGAAGUACGUACGCAAGUAUGAAACUUAAAGGAAUUGGCGGGGGAGCACCACAAGGGGUGAAGCCUGCGGUUCAAUUGGAGUCAACGCCAGAAAUCUUACCCGGAGAGACAGCAGAAUGAAGGUCAAGCUGAAGACUUUACCAGACAAGCUGAGAGGUGGUGCAUGGCCGUCGCCAGCUCGUGCCGUGAGAUGUCCUGUUAAGUCAGGCAACGAGCGAGACCCA